rnacentral:rRNA from 1 species
CCCGCCGGCGACCGGCGCACGGGUGAGUAACGCGUAUGCAACUUACCUAUCAGAGGGGGAUAACCCGGCGAAAGUCGGACUAAUACCGCAUGAAGCAGGGGCCCCGCAUGGGGAUAUUUGCUAAAGAUUCAUCGCUGAUAGAUAGGCAUGCGUUCCAUUAGGCAGUUGGCGGGGUAACGGCCCACCAAACCGACGACGGAUAGGGGUUCUGAGAGGAAGGUCCCCCACAUUGGUACUGAGACACGGACCAAACUCCUACGGGAGGCAGCAG